rnacentral:rRNA from 1 species
ACUCAAAGGAAUUGACGGGGGCCCGCACAAGCGGCGGAGCGUGCGGUUUAAUUCGACGCAACGCGCAAAACCUUACCGAGGCUUGACAUGUGGCUGCAGACGUGGGAAACCACGGGGCCUUCGAGGGUGCCACACAGGUGCUGCAUGGCUGUCGUCAGCUCGUGCCGUGAGGUGUUGGGUUAAGUCCCGCAACGAGCGCAACCCCCGCGUCUAGUUGAAUUGAUCUAGACGGACUGCCGGCCGCAAACCGGAGGAAGGUGGGGAUGAUGUCAAGUCAGCAUGGCCCUUACGCCUCGGGCCACACGCACGCUACAAUGGCCGGGACAGUGGGUAGCCAAGCCGCGAGGCGGAGCGAAUCCCCCAAACCCGGUCUCAGUUCGGAUCGCGGGCUGCAACUCGCCCGCGUGAAGUCGGAGUCGCUAGUAACCGCAGGUCAGCAUUACUGCGGUGAAUAUGUUCCCGGGCCUUGCACACACCGCCCGU